AAACCCCUCCUCACCUUCCACCGAUACCCUCUCCUCCCUCUAGUUCCCUACCUCUCGCGAGGCCUCCUCAGCGCCGCCGCCCCCCAGGCUGCCGUCUUCCCGGAGGUCCCUCCUCGCUCGCACCACAGAUCCCGUGCGCGGCGGGGUGAGGACCGCGGGCCGGAGGAGGGCGGGCUGCGCGGCGGGGGAGGGGGGCGGGCGGCUCGGCGGGCUGGAGGAGGGCGGGCUGCGCGGCGGGGGGAGGACAACGGGCUGCGUGGCGGGGGAGGAGAGCGGGCGGCACGGUUGGGGAGGAGGGCGGGCGGCGCUGGGAGCGGCUGUAGGGAGGCGGCGGGGCUAAUGAUUAUCUAUCCAUACCACUUAUCAUGUGUUGUACAAAUUGGACUAAUUGAUGUUUAUGUUGUCUGCAAUUUUUCAGGCCAUGCCCGGCUGUAUCACUUUGAAAACUACACCACUUGAGCAUGAGGACUUGCUAAGGAGCAUGUUUGACGCUAUAAGUGUUACAAAUGAGACGGCAUAUGUUCCUGGUCGUGGUGGUAGUGCUGCUGGUGCUGAGACUGAUGGACUGGGAGAGGGUGAACGUGAGGAUGAGAGGGCCACACAAACGGUGGAUGCAGGUGCUAAAAGGUCAGCACCUGUUACUUCAUGACACAUUGGUUGAUCAAUAUGGUUUGAGGGCAAGUAGAGGAAUAUGUACCAAAGAAGUCUUAGGAAUGUUUUUAUGGACAUGUGGUGCACCUCAAUCUUUUAGGCAAGUGAAGAACAGUUUGGUCAUUCACUAGAAACUGUUAGCAGGAAGUUAGAAGAGGGAAGUAUUAUCUCGUUGAUUCCGGGUAUCCUAACAGAAAAGGAUUUUUGGCACCAUACAAGGGACAAAGGUACCAUGUGUCUUUUUUAGCCGAAUGGCAACACGGUUGCCACCCGGCUGGAUCAAAGGAGUUGUUCAACUAUGCACAUUCAUUCCUUAGAGGCAUUGAGCGUUCAUUUGGAGUCUUAAAAAUAAAGUGGCGUAUUCUAUUGAACAUGCCGGCCUAUCCAAUUGAGAAGCAAUCAACAAUUAUCACGGCCUGCGUGGCUCUUCAUAAUUUCAUUAGGGAUAAUGCAGAACAAGACGUAGACUUUGCCACGUCUAUGCCUGAAGUAGAAGUUCAAGUUCAUGGUAACCAAGGUACGACGGGAGAUGGAGUCUUUCUGAAGUAGAAGUUCAAGUUCAUGGUAACCAAGGUACGACAGGAGAUGGAGUCUUUCGGCGGAUGAAUUGAUAUGGGUGCCUUUCGUGGUGCAAUUGCCUCAGCUUUGCGUGGGUGAUUAUCUGUUGUAGUCUAUUUAUCUUGAACUAAUGGGUAUUGUUUGACUUGUAAAACACUAUCAAUGAUUGCCUUGGCUAGUUCUAUGACUUUGAAUGUAUUACUAAUUACUUAA